rnacentral:rRNA from 1 species
CGUGGGUAACCUGCCCAAGAGAUCGGGAUAACACCUGGAAACAGAUGCUAAUACCGGAUAACAACAGAUGAUGCCUAUCAACUGUUUAAAAGAUGGUUCUGCUAUCACUCUUGGAUGGACCUGCGGUGCAUUAGCUAGUUGGUAGGGUAACGGCCUACCAAGGCGAUGAUGCAUAGCCGAGUUUAGAGACUGAUCGGCCACAUUGGGACUGAGACACGGCCCAAACUCCUACGGGAGGCAGCAGCU